GGAGGAGGGGCCAAAGCCAGGACUUUGAGACCGGCGCGCGGUCAAGCCCAGGCAGCUCUCCCUAACCCUCCAGCACUGGGCAAACGCUGCCCGAUGACGCCCGCCUCGGGGGCCACGGCAUCACUGGGGCGACUGCGAGCCCGGCCGCGGAGCCGCUGGGACGCGGCUUACCUCCCGGCUGUCGCUGCUGUGUGUGUUGCCCGCGCCAGUCACGUCCCUAAUGGGACCCUCCGUUUCGGCGUCUGUAAGGCGAGGAGGACGAUGCGUCCCCUCCCUCGCAGGAUUGAGGUUAGGACUAAACGGGGUCCGCAGCGCCCGGCAGCUCCCGAGCGCUCUCCCCAGCCGCGCCUCCCUCCUUCCCGCCACCCGUCCCGCAGGGGCCCGCGGCGUCACCUCUCAGGCUGUAGCGCGCCUGCAUGCCGAAUACCGACAGGGUGCCGGUGCCCGUGCGGUCGUCCUUCCUGACGCCGCAGCGGAGGAUGUGUUGGAUCUGCCCCAGGAUUUCCAGGUCCCAGAUGAAGAGAUAAUUCUACUUACUGGAUAUAGGAUGCAUUAGAUCUUCUUACCUUAAAAAAAAAAAAAAAGGCAGCAAUGAUCAAAAUACUAAUAAAUUACUCACAGACUCAGUGUAUUUUUUCUUGGAGUAAAAGUCCAGGAUGGGUAAUAGAAUACCUGCUGUUGGCUUUUGGAAAAAUUGGUACUGUAUGUAGCAAAAUAAUGUGAAACCCAUAUGCAUGGAUAUUCUUAACAAUUUGAAGAAAUCGUCACAGCUUUCCUGGGUUGUUGAGCCUCUAAGAUGGUCUUUUCCUCUGAUGUGAUAAUAAAGUGUUUAUUCUGAACUCUACAUGCACGUAGUGUUUGGUCAGUAAACUUCUGUUACUCAUGACUCAUUACAUUAGUCAACAAAUUUUGUAUAUUUGCCUUUCACGAUGAUGAUGAUGGUAAGAGCCCAUCUACAAAAGCUUAUUAAAGACUCAGGAUGUGCAAGAUA
rnacentral:lncRNA from 10 species